CCUAACCUCCUGCCCUACCACCCCGACUCAGCCGCCGCCACCGCUACUCAUCUGAGCUGCUUGAGACGCCGUCGGCGCCAGAGUGAUCUUCAUCUUCUUCCCCACCCGACCACCCCCGACACCGACUUCCGCGGCGACUGGCAUCUCCCGCAUCUCGGCCCUCACCUUCUCACUGAUCGCCGGCCGUCGCGCCGUCAUUGGACUCAUUGCACACAAGGGAAGGAGAGGACCAGAGGAGGACAAGGACCCGCCGUCGCCCAGAGUCCACACACCUUCGAUUCGAUCUUCGAGGCUUCGACAUAGUCCCAAUACUCCACAUCGGCAACUCAUCGGCGACCUCGGUCCACCUCGGCAUCCCGGCUCCGUCUUCUCCAGUUUUCUACCACAUCUUCCACGGUAGAAGCUAAGCAAUCAGUCAAAAUGGUUCAACCUUGUGGAGUUGGUGAUGUUGAGAUGACUGAAGAGGAAGUGCAAGUCUAUGAAGAAGAAAGAAAGAAAGGAGGAGCAUGAACAGAAAAAAGAGCAGAUGGAUGAACAACCUGGAAGAAGGCAGAAGAAGAAAAGAUCACACGCAUGGGAUCACUUUUCUAAGAAUUUUCAGGAGGUGGCAGAAGUUGUCGUUAUAAUAGCAACAAUGAAAUGGAAUAUGCGGACUGGACAACUUUGUGGCAGAGGAAGCUAAUGUUCAUUUAAAGUUGUGGAAGAUACUGAUGUAUACAAGUAGAUUUGAUAUGCAAGAUGAUGUAUCUGUAGUACUUUGUUUGAUACUGAUUACUAAGUUUGAAAACUUGUUUAUGUAAAUUUGUGUUCAAAUCUGAUUCUGUUUAUAAUGCACUUAUAUGUGCAAUGUGUAUGUGUAUGUGGAUUUGAUCUAUG